rnacentral:rRNA from 1 species
GACGAACGCUGGCGGCGUGCCUAAUACAUGCAAGUCGAGCGAAGUUUUUCUGGUGCUUGCACUAGAAAAACUUAGCGGCGAACGGGUGAGUAACACGUAAAGAACCUGCCUCAUAGACUGGGACAACUAUUGGAAACGAUAGCUAAUACCGGAUAACAGCAUUAACUGCAUGGUUGAUGUUUAAAAGUUGGUUUUGCUAACACUAUGAGAUGGCCUUGCGGUGCAUUAGCUAGUUGGUGGGGUAAAGGCCUACCAAGGCGACGAUGCAUAGCCGACCUGAGAGGGUGAUCGGCCACACUGGGACUGAGACACGGCCCAGACUCCUACGGGAGGCAGCAGUAGGGAAUCUUCCGCAAUGGGCGAAAGCCUGACGGAGCAACGCCGCGUGAGUGAAGAAGGAUUUCGGUUCGUAAAGCUCUGUUGUUAGGGAAGAAUGAUUGUGUAGUAACUAUACACAGUAGAGACGGUACCUAACCAGAAAGCCACGGCUAACUACGUGCCAGCAGCCGCGGUAAUACGUAGGUGGCAAGCGUUGUCCGGAAUUAUUGGGCGUAAAGCGCGCGCAGGUGGUUUAAUAAGUCUGAUGUGAAAGCCCACGGCUCAACCGUGGAGGGUCAUUGGAAACUGUUAAACUUGAGUGCAGGAGAGAAAAGUGGAAUUCCUAGUGUAGCGGUGAAAUGCGUAGAGAUUAGGAGGAACACCAGUGGCGAAGGCGGCUUUUUGGCCUGUAACUGACACUGAGGCGCGAAAGCGUGGGGAGCAAACAGG